rfam:Salmo salar isolate Sally breed double haploid chromosome ssa24, whole genome shotgun sequence.
GAUGAGGUGGCUGAGUGGUUAAGGCGAUGGACUGCUAAUCCAUGGUGCUCUGCAUGCAUGGGUUCAAAUCCCAUCCUCAUCA